CCUACGGGGGGCAGCAGUGGGGAAUAUUGGACAAUGGGGGCAACCCUGAUCCAGCCAUGCCGCGUUUGUGAAGAAGGCCCUCGGGUUGUAAAGCACUUUCAGUGAGGAAGAACGCCUGGUGGUUAAUACCCAUCAGGAAAGACAUCACUCACAGAAGAAGCACCGGCUAACUCCGUGCCAGCAGCCGCGGUAAUACGGAGGGUGCGAGCGUUAAUCGGAAUUACUGGGCGUAAAGCGCGCGUAGGUGGCUUGAUAAGCCGGUUGUGAAAGUCCCGGGCUCAACCUGGGAACGGCAUCCGGAACUGUCAAGCUAGAGUGCAGGAGAGGAAGGUAGAAUUCCCGGUGUAGCGGUGAAAUGCGUAGAGAUCGGGAGGAAUACCAGUGGCGAAGGCGGCCUUCUGGACUGACACUGACACUGAGGUGCGAAAGCGUGGGUAGCAAACAGGAUUAGAUACCCUUGUAGUC
rnacentral:rRNA from 1 species